rnacentral:rRNA from 1 species
CCUACGGGAUGCACCAGUGGGGAAUAUUGCACAAUGGGCGCAAGCCUGAUGCAGCCAUGCCGCGUGUAUGAAGAAGGCCUUCGGGUUGUAAAGUACUUUCAGCGGGGAGGAAGGCGAUAAGGUUAAUAACCUUGUCGAUUGACGUUACCGACAGAAGAAGCACCGGCUAACUCCGUGCCAGCAGCCGCGGUAAUACGGAGGGUGCAAGCGUUAAUCGGAAUUACUGGGCGUAAAGCGCACGCAGGCGGUUGAUUGAGUCAGAUGUGAAAUCCCCGGGCUUAACCCGGGAAUUGCAUCUGAUACUGGUCAGCUAGAGUCUUGUAGAGGGGGGUAGAAUUCCAUGUGCAGCGGUGAAAUGCGUAGAGAUGUGGAGGAAUACCGGUGGCGAAGGCGGCCCCCUGGACAAAGACUGACGCUCAGGUGCGAAAGCGUGGGGAGCAAACAGGAUUAGAUACCCGAGUAGUC